UGACGAGCGGCGGACGGGUGAGUAAUGUCUGGGAAACUGCCUGAUGGAGGGGGAUAACUACUGGAAACGGUAGCUAAUACCGCAUAACGUCGCAAGACCAAAGUGGGGGACCUUCGGGCCUCAUGCCAUCAGAUGUGCCCAGAUGGGAUUAGCUAGUAGGUGGGGUAACGGCUCACCUAGGCGACGAUCCCUAGCUGGUCUGAGAGGAUGACCAGCCACACUGGAACUGAGACACGGUCCAGACUCCUACGGGAGGCAGCAGUGGGGAAUAUUGCACAAUGGGCGCAAGCCUGAUGCAGCCAUGCCGCGUGUGUGAAGAAGGCCUUCGGGUUGUAAAGUACUUUCAGCGGGGAGGAAGGCGAUAAGGUUAAUAACCUUGUCGAUUGACGUUACCCGCAGAAGAAGCACCGGCUAACUCCGUGCCAGCAGCCGCGGUAAUACGGAGGGUGCAAGCGUUAAUCGGAAUUACUGGGCGUAAAGCGCACGCAGGCGGUCUGUCAAGUCGGAUGUGAAAUCCCCGGGCUCAACCUGGGAACUGCAUUCGAAACUGGCAGGCUAGAGUCUUGUAGAGGGGGGUAGAAUUCCAGGUGUAGCGGUGAAAUGCGUAGAGAUCUGGAGGAAUACCGGUGGCGAAGGCGGCCCCCUGGACAAAGACUGACGCUCAGGUGCGAAAGCGUGGGGAGCAAACAGGAUUAGAUACCCUGGUAGUCCACGCCGUAAACGAUGUCGAUUUGGAGGUUGUGCCCUUGAGGCGUGGCUUCCGGAGCUAACGCGUUAAAUCGACCGCCUGGGGAGUACGGCCGCAAGGUUAAAACUCAAAUGAAUUGACGGGGGCCCGCACAAGCGGUGGAGCAUGUGGUUUAAUUCGAUGCAACGCGAAGAACCUUACCUGGUCUUGACAUCCACAGAACUUAGCAGAGAUGCUUUGGUGCCUUCGGGAACUGUGAGACAGGUGCUGCAUGGCUGUCGUCAGCUCGUGUUGUGAAAUGUUGGGUUAAGUCCCGCAACGAGCGCAACCCUUAUCCUUUGUU
rnacentral:rRNA from 1 species